GACGAACGCUGGCGGCGUGCUUAACACAUGCAAGUCGAACGGUGAAGGGACCGGUUUUUGCUGGUUCUGGAUGAGUGGCGAACGGGUGAGUAACACGUGAGUAACCUGCCCCCUUCUUCUGGAUAACCGCAUGAAAGUGUGGCUAAUACGGGAUAUUCUGCGCCUGCUGCAUGGUGGGUGUGGGAAAGAUAUUGUUUCGGUGGGGGAUGGGCUCGCGGCCUAUCAGCUUGUUGGUGGGGUGAUGGCCUACCAAGGCGGUGACGGGUAGCCGGCCUGAGAGGGUGGACGGUCACACUGGGACUGAGACACGGCCCAGACUCCUACGGGAGGCAGCAGUGGGGAAUAGUGCACAAUGGGCGCAAGCCUGAUGCAGCGACGCCGCGUGAGGGAUGGAGGCCUUCGGGUUGUAAACCUCUUUCGCCAGUGAAGCAGGCCUGUCCCUUUUGUGGGUGGGUUGACGGUAGCUGGAUAAGAAGCGCCGGCUAACUACGUG
rnacentral:rRNA from 1 species